rnacentral:rRNA from 1 species
CCUACGGGAGGCUGCAGUGAGGAAUAUUGGUCAAUGGACGAGAGUCUGAACCAGCCAAGUAGCGUGAAGGAUGACUGCCCUAUGGGUUGUAAACUUCUUUUAUAUGGGAAUAAAAUGUUCCACGUGUGGGAUUUUGUAUGUACCAUAUGAAUAAGGAUCGGCUAACUCCGUGCCAGCAGCUGCGGUAAUACGGAGGAUCCGAGCGUUAUCCGGAUUUAUUGGGUUUAAAGGGAGCGUAGGUGGAUUGUUAAGUCAGUUGUGAAAGUUUGCGGCUCAACCGUAAAAUUGCAGUUGAAACUGGCAGUCUUGAGUACAGUAGAGGUGGGCGGAAUUCGUGGUGUAGCGGUGAAAUGCUUAGAUAUCACGAAGAACUCCGAUUGCGAAGGCAGUUCACUGGACUGCAACUGACACUGAGGCUCGAAAGUGUGGGUAUCAAACAGGAUUAGAUACCCUUGUAGUC